rnacentral:tRNA from 1 species
CGGGGCGUAGCUCAGCUUGGGAGAGCGCUUGCUUGGGGUGCAAGAGGCCGCUGGUUCAAAUCCAGUCGCUCCGA